UGCCCCGUUGUGUAACGGUAGCACGACGGACUCUGACUCCGUUUGUCGAGGUUCAAAUCCUUGCGGGGCAGCCA
rnacentral:tRNA from 1 species